AUAAUAAAAACAAAACAAAACAAAAUUGGAAUGAUAUAGAAGAGAUUAGCAUGGCUCCUGCAUGAGGGUGACACACAAAUUUGUGAAGCAAUCCAUAUUUUU